ACUUCGGUGGAUUUGAUCUAUUUCUAGUGGCGGACGGGUGAGUAACGCGUGGGUAACCUGCCUUAUACAGGGGGAUAACAGUCAGAAAUGGCUGCUAAUACCGCAUAAGCGCACAGAGCUGCAUGGCUCAGUGUGAAAAACUCCGGUGGUAUAAGAUGGACCCGCGUUGGAUUAGCUAGUUGGUGGGGUAACGGCCCACCAAGGCGACGAUCCAUAGCCGGCCUGAGAGGGUGAACGGCCACAUUGGGACUGAGACACGGCCCAGACUCCUACGGGAGGCAGCAGUGGGGAAUAUUGCACAAUGGGGGAAACCCUGAUGCAGCGACGCCGCGUGAAGGAAGAAGUAUCUCGGUAUGUAAACUUCUAUCAGCAGGGAAGAUAGUGACGGUACCUGACUAAGAAGCCCCGGCUAACUACGUGCCAGCAGCCGCGGUAAUACGUAGGGGGCAAGCGUUAUCCGGAUUUACUGGGUGUAAAGGGAGCGUAGACGGUGUGGCAAGUCUGAUGUGAAAGGCAUGGGCUCAACCUGUGGACUGCAUUGGAAACUGUCAUGCUUGAGUGCCGGAGGGGUAAGCGGAAUUCCUAGUGUAGCGGUGAAAUGCGUAGAUAUUAGGAGGAACACCAG
rnacentral:rRNA from 1 species